AAGGCUUCAAGUUUUGAUUUUGAUAGUAAUAUUACUGACUGUUUUUGAGGUAAUAUCUACAAUGGUGCCUAUAAAAAUGUUCCCCUCGCUAUCCAGUGCAGCAUUUGUUUUGCACUUGGACGUCGGGGAACUAAAUCU